GCUGGGAGAGUUUCCUUCCUAUCACACUUUUCCUAGACCCACUUCAUAGCCUCAGCCCAAAGCAUAUCAGCACCAUGGCUGCAACCCCAGCUCCAGGAGAUUUACCAUAGUAGCCAGAACCCACCACUUUUGCCCACUCCCUCCCCAUUUCCCACCAAGUACCAUCAGUGGCUGCAGCCCCAUCACUGUCUCAGCCCUCCACCUCCUGCUCUGUGCUGCAGAUCCUAGCCCAGCCUGUACCAUGGGUGACAGGGGUCUGCAGCAGUGGUGGUGGCUCUGGGGGGGCUGCCGGGCCAUGCCUGCACUGCCUGGAACCCACAGAACACCCAGGGUGGCUCUGGGAGGGGAGGAUGGUUCUGCUUCCCUCAGCACAGGGGCAGCCUAUGGAGGCUCCAGGGGCAGGCACCCGUCAUCCCUGCUCGCCGUGGGGAGCACUGAGGGUGCCGAGUGCUCCCAGCCCCAUGCAGGCCAGGGUGGCCAAGCAGCAUGUCCGGGACACAGGAGCAGGAAUGGGUCAGCCCAGAGCACUGCAGUCACACACCGUGGGCUGGGGAGCAUGGGCGCAGCCGCAGUGUCACACACCACGGGCUGGGGAGCAUGGCCAUGGGCACAGCCGCAGUGUCACACACCACGGGCUGGGGAGCAUGGCCAUGGGCACAGCCGCAGUGUCACACACCACGGGCUGGGGAGCAUGGCCAUGGCACAGCCGCAGUGUCACACACCACGGGCUGGGGAGCAUGGCCAUGGGCACAGCCGCAGUGUCACACACCACGGGCUGGGGAGCAUGGCCAUGGGCACAGCCGCAGUGUCACACACCAUGGGCUGGGGAGCAUGGCCAUGGGCACAGCCGCAGUGUCACACACCACGGGCUGGGGAGCAUGGCCAUGGGCACAGCCGCAGUGUCACACACCACGGGCUGGGGAGCAUGGCCAUGGGCACAGCCGCAGUGUCACACACCACGGGCUGGGGAGCAUGGGCACAGCUGCAGUGUCACACACCAUGGGCCAUGGGCCCCACCAGGAGCCCUGCCGCCAGUUAUUUAUUUUUACACAUUGUACUACGACUCCUGUUUUCUACUUUGUUUGUACCUUUUGUAUCGUGUCGCGCUGAGCUGCAUGUAUCAGGCACUGCGCCUCGGCCGCACGCUGGCCGCUCCAGCACAGCCUGGACCCAAGUGCCAACUCCUCAAAGAAAUGCCUUAAUAAACCACACUUGUUUGUACAGA
rnacentral:lncRNA from 1 species